rfam:Schistosoma mansoni, Puerto Rico, WGS project CABG01000000 data, contig: 0164
AUCCAGCUGACGAGUCCCGGAUAAGACGAAACACGCGUCCUGGAU